UUACCUCCCUUAUAUAUGCAUUUUUCUUCAUUCAUUUUAUUGAUAAUUACUUCCCUUUAUGUUUAGCAAAAAUUCUCAGAUUGCAUUUAAUUAACUCCCUUUAUUUAACAUGAAAAAUUCUCUUGUGUAAUGAUUAUUUGUAUAUUUUACUUACAGUGUCUGAUACAUGUAGUUGCAGUCUGUCUUUGGAAGCUGUAGAAAUAACAAGAAAGAGGCUGACAUAGUGAACUUGAAGACAAUGGUUAGUGCAGAAGGGACAUAAAAGUUAUGAUAAAAGUAACAGAUAUAAAUAAGAAGGGCUACAAGUGUGUUGUCAUGUGAAAUGGAAUUUACCCCAACUGUGCUGCAUGAUGUAUAUUCAAGUGCGAGACAGCCAUGCACCAGCUGUAAACUGAGAUGGACCCAUAUAAUAAAUAUGUUGACUUUUCUGUGUAUUAUCAUUUGUACAGAAUGUGUUCAUGACAAGACUGUAUACAUAUAUUGUUAAAUCAUUUUUUAUUUCCAUUAUUGCAUGCAUGUAAGAAGCAAGCAUUUAACAAUUGCAUUCAUAGAAAUGUUAAAAUGUGAUCAAUCUAAUUUAAAGAAACACAUUUAAUUGGACUUUUUAAGUUUCAUAGUAUUUGUGGUGGAGAUUGACCCAGUCAUUCAGCAACUUAUACAGUCUGUGUGUCAUUUCUUGUAUGUUAUAGUUUUCUUAAUAAUACAUGUACAUUUAAUGUCAAAGUUAUGGUAAGAUGAACUCAUUCAUCACUUGUAGAUUAAUGUUAAAGCAGUUCAACAUUUUACCAUAAGUUAACUAAUAUUCUAUUUAACCAGAGUUGUCACAUAUUUUCAUAUAAACAUUUGUAUAAUACAGUCUAAUCUAAUCUACAAAUGAUAUUCCACAAUUUUUUAGUUAUAUUUUAUGUUGAUAUUUUAUGUUGUUUUCAUGUCUCAACAUAUAAUUUCUAACAUCAAAGAAACUUAAGUCUUUUACAAUUUGGUUGGUAUAAAUGGUUGUUUUGUUUAUAUAUUUUUUUUUCCAUCCAGGAGAAUAAAGAAAUAUACAUUUCAAAAUAUCUCAUCAUUCCAGAUAAGUACACUACAUAAUCAAGAUAAAAGAAAUAAGAAGAAAAUAUGUUGGUGGAAUUUUAUUUUCAAAAAUUUGAUAUACAGUCUUUGUAGUAUUUACUUCUUUAGAUAUGUUGGACUGAAAUGGGAAUAACAACAUACUUUAAAUUUUUGAAGUCAUAAGUUAAUAUGGGAAUUAUUAACUUAACUUAACUUAAAAAUAUUUUUUCUCACUGUUAUGCCAUCUGAGCUUUAAUAUUUUUCAACAUUGUCAUUGGCAACAAGGCUCAAAAUUAUUUGUUGUGUAUACCUUGCAUUUAUGUGUGAUAAAUGCUUGUAAUGGUUUUCUUUAAUAUAAUUUAUGCUUUUCAUCUUACCAUGGAUUAGAAAAAUAUAAUUUUAUUUCUCUGAAAAUUAAGGUAAAAAUACUGACUGAUUAAAUUGCAAUAUAAGAAAGCUUAUUUGAGAUAAAGGGAGGUAAUUCCAUAAAAAAUAUGUAGAAUGUAGAUGAUAAAUAUAAUGAAGGGAGGUAAUAAAAUAUUGUGAAGUUAUUAGUCUUCAUUUCUUUGAUGAGCUAAUUAAUUGUUUUACAUUUUGGUUUAUUAACUACAAGUAUGACCUAACAUGUGUACCUGUCCUGAAGGAAAAUAAAAAAGGUUGUUUGA